rnacentral:rRNA from 1 species
AUGGUCGGCCUCCCCACGGACGGGUACUCUGGGCAACAGAGCCCUACCACGGCCAGCAACCAGCUGCUGCUCCACUCGCUCCUGCGCCCGGGCACGUCGCAAGAGAUGGAUCGGUUGAUAUCCACAACCGUGAGCAUGGCGGCGGCAGAGGAAGCCGUCUACCAGGACGACGACGGAGAUGACGACUACUACGACGACCUGGGCCACGAGGAGCACCGCCUGCUGCGGCGUCGAUGGCAGCGGGAGCUGCGUGCACGGCAGCUACUGGCGUCGGGGCUGGAGCCAUGGCAGGUGCGGGAGCUGGAGGAGGAUGUCGGCAGGUCGGAGAGGGUCCUGCAGCGCCCGCCGCUGCCACCAACCUUCACCAUGGCCGGCCUGGUGUUCAGCUGCAUAGCAGUCCUCGGAGUCACGUCCGGCGCCUUCGUCGCUGGCUGGGUCGGUUGGGCCGUGUUGCCCUGUCACUCUGGCAAGAAGAAGCCGCCGCCUCCUCGUCGUGCUCUUCUUGCCCGCUUCCUAUAUGGCUUAUAG